rfam:Beauveria bassiana ARSEF 2860 unplaced genomic scaffold BBA_S00035, whole genome shotgun sequence.
CCUUCGCUCAACAGAUCGCUGUCGAAGCUCACACACAGAGACGUUUCCUAUGGAAUGUCUCUUAUUCUAGCUUUGGGAGAAAGUCCCCGGACACCUUCUUUUUUCUUUACGGAAAAAGAACCUGCGGAAACGCGCCGCCAUAAAAGCACUGCGGCUGACUUUCGUGUCUUGGCCGCCUCUAGCAACGACCAUGCCCAGUCUACCGCUACAUUCGCCUGCCUGGAAGCCGAUGCGUCUCUUCCCAAUAGCCCGUCGCUCGAACCCCUACAGGAUGAAGAUACGAGUCCGAGUCGGGUGCGGGCUGGAAAGGAGCGUGCGCUUGGCAGACAGCGGGUGGAUGGUAGACCGACGCCUGUGGCUCUUGCUGGGGUGGUUUCGGGCGCAGAAGAUUUUUGUCGAGAUCGAUAGUUAUGCGAUUGCUGGGCUUCACGGCCUAGUUACUCGAUGGGGCUCAUUCUUGAGGCGAAG